rnacentral:sRNA from 1 species
AAGUGAGUUAUGGUAAUAUAAAUAUGAUGUAAGACCAAAACAUUUAUACUCUGAAUUAGUAUAAUGUUAUUCAUAGUAGCUCCUUCAUUACGAAGGUCUUCUCCGUGCUUGCAGCUUUUCUAGCAUAUGGGGGCUCAGUAAUAGUAUUGGUAUUCAUUCUGGUCUUCCAUUUUGCACCAAAAUGUGGGCAUACAAAUGUGCUAGUUUAUAUUGGCAUUUGUUCAUUGAUGGGUUCCCUCUCUGUGAUGAGUGUUAAGGCCCUCGGGACUUCUUUGAAGUUAACUUUUGAAGGGAAAAAUCAGUUGAUCUACCCAGAGACAUGGUUUUUUAUGUUAGUUGUGGCUAUAUGUGUCAUCAUGCAAAUGAAUUAUCUU